rnacentral:lncRNA from 1 species
AGAAAACAUUGGUAGUGAAAGGAUUAAAUAAAAAUGCACUAAAAUAAUGGGAUAGUAUUAUGUGGAUACUCUUCACAAUAAUAAGAAUGAGCAAGCUCUAGAUUUAAUAUGAAAAGCAUUAACUUAGCAAUGCUAUGCAUGAGGCAAUUAAAGGUUCUAAAUGAGUGGGGGCCAUCAACUUCACUUGUACAUGGGCCCCCUCAGUUCUUGGUACAUCUCAGGUUAAAUAACUAUGAAAUUUUAUAUUACAUUUUACAUUUACAUUUGAUUGCUAAACUAUUUUGUCAUUGUAAUAUUAAAAUUCUUAUACAAUUUUUGAAUUUUUUUAAACAUUUGAAAAUAGAUUAGCAUAUUUUUUAUAUGCAAAAGUUCAUAAUUAAGAUGUUUGUAAUUUAGAGAAUUGCC